rnacentral:rRNA from 1 species
CAAUAGCGUAUAUUAAAGUUGUUGCGGUUAAAAAGCUCGUAGUUGGAUUUCUGGUUGAAGCGACCGGUCGGGCGUUGAUUCGUCUGCACUGGAGUCGGUUUUGGCCAUCCUCUAGGAAAGUGCGUCUGGUAUUAAGUUAUCGGGCGUAUGAUCCUGGUCUUUUACUGUGAAAAAAUUAGAGUGUUUAAAGCAGGCCUUCGCCUUGAAUACAUUAGCAUGGAAUAAUAAGAUAGGACUUUGGUCUAUUUUGUUGGUUUGCAGACCGAAGUAAUGAUUAAUAGGGAUAGUUGGGGGUAUUUAUAUUCCGAUGUCAGAGGUGAAAUUCUUAGAUUUUCGGAAGAUAAACUUAUGCGAAAGCAUUUACCAAGGAUGUUUNCAUUA